rnacentral:rRNA from 1 species
AGUGAACGCUGGCGGUAGGCCUAACACAUGCAAGUCGAACGGCAGCACAGUAAGAGCUUGCUCUUACGGGUGGCGAGUGGCGGACGGGUGAGGAAUACAUCGGAAUCUACUUUUUCGUAGGGGAUAACGUAGGGAAACUUACGCUAAUACCGCAUACGACCUACGGGUGAAAGCAGGGGAUCUUCGGACCUUGCGCGAUUGAAUGAGCCGAUGUCGGAUUAGCUAGUUGGGGGGGUAAAGGCCCACCAAGGCGACGAUCCGUAGCUGGUCUGAGAGGAUGAUCAGCCACACUGGAACUGAGACACGGUCCAGACUCCUACGGGAGGCAGCAGUGGGGAAUAUUGGACAAUGGGCGCAAGCCUGAUCCAGCCAUACCGCGUGGGUGAAGAAGGCCUUCGGGUUGUAAAGCCCUUUUGUUGGGAAAGAAAAGCAGCAGGUUAAUACCCCGCUGUUCUGACGGUACCCAAAGAAUAAGCACCGGCUAACUUCGUG